rnacentral:rRNA from 1 species
UACGAAGGGGGCUAGCGUUGUUCGGAUUUACUGGGCGUAAAGCGCACGUAGGCGGAUCGAUCAGUCAGGGGUGAAAUCCCAGAGCUCAACUCUGGAACUGCCUUUGAUACUGUCGAUCUGGAGUAUGGAAGAGGUGAGUGGAAUUCCGAGUGUAGAGGUGAAAUUCGUAGAUAUCGGGAGGAACACCGGUGGCGAAGGCGGCGAUCUGGGUCGAUACUGACGCUGAGGUGCGAAAGCGUGGGGAGCAAACAGG